UGGAUGAAGACAGAGAAGUGGAGUUUGAAACUAGCAUGUAUCAUUUUAGUGAGCUCACAUGAACAACAGCAAGCUGCAGAAGUGGUGCAAGAAACAUGAUAAGUUACUCGCCAAGUGCUUCAAGACUAUCAAGUUUCUGACAGAUAAGCUGAGCUGCUCCUCUUCCACAACAGCUAUCCCA